CACGCAAGGAAUGCUGCUAUAUCGACUGAGGAUUUAUUUUUAACAGUUUUUAGGUUGUUUCUGUGGUUUCAAAGUGUUGCGACUUGGCUUAGUUUACAGCAAGAGUGUUUUGCUAGCUAAGUGAUGUACUUUGCUAAAACGUGAAUUGGAUUUGAUGAGAGCAAGAAUGUUGUCCUUGCCAGACAAGCGGUGCAAUGUCUUGUUGAAACGCAUUAUAAAAUCUAUUUGUAGUUAAUGUAAUCAAAAAAGUGUAGUUUUUCAUUAGAUUUUUAUUUAGACACAUUUUUAUAAAUACUUCUCAUUACCAGUGCAACAAUAUCUACAAGUGCUGACUCAACAGUAACAGAAGCGACAUCUACUAAAGUGGUGCCUCAAGAAGACCUAAUGGUCUUGUCACAAAGCACCGCGGAAGUGCAUUUAACUAGGAAAUUUCACCUCCUUCCUUAUCGUGACGCGAAAAUAUGCCCAUAGCUCGUUUCGAACCUGGAUCUCCUGCUUAUAAAGCAAGCGCUAUAACCACUGCGCCACGGCCGCACAUGUAGCACGUUCCAGAACCAAGUCGUUUGAUGAUUUAUUUUUUAAAUUUGAUAAACGUGCAUUUCAAAUAUUUCAUUAAACAAAAUAAUUUUACACAAACAAUGUUGUAUUUGUUUAAGUAAGUAUUUUUAUCUGUCUUAUAAUGUGGUAAUGUGUGUUAUUUAUUACGCGUUAACCUGUGUUAUAAAAGGUUAUAUGGAUUUAUAUUUUGAAAAAGUUUAUUGUGUUUUUGUGUGUUAAAAUGUGUACAAUAAACUCUGGAUUACUUGAUAACUUUUAACAAC